GUAAAACAGGUGUGUUCUGCAAUACACAUUCAACAUGCUCUUGUUUCGCCGGAAGAGAUUUCCUCCUUUUUGUUUUUAAAUGUUCUUUCCCAUUUGACUCCAAAUUCACAGGCAGUUCAGGCUCGGGUUCAGGCUCAGGUUUAGGCUUAGGUUCGGUUUCAGGCUCGGGGUCAGCGGGACCCUGUUCAGGCUCAGGCUCAGGCUUAGGCUCGGACUCAGGCUCGGGUGGAGGUGGAGGUGGACCCUGUCCAGAAGCUGCAGCCAUUGAUACGGAAAUUUUGCGUAGACUUUGUUUGACCUUCUCGAGUUCACUAUGAGAUUGUUCAGGGAUUGAUUCUGGUUG
rnacentral:lncRNA from 1 species